AAAUUUACUUAACCUCAGCUUCAAGGGGGUCAAGAAUACUUUGCCCCCGGGGUGGAGGCUCACCACUGCACCUCAGUGGGUUGAAAACCGUGACGGACCCUAAUUGAGUGCUCUCGGGCGUGUAGUUUUUGCCAGUGGGGAAACCUCACGGUCCUCCCUU
rnacentral:snRNA from 15 species